GAUAUUAAAAAGUGAUCAACUGAUAAAAUGUUGCUGAAUUUAUGAUAACAUUUAACCAGUAGACCACUUUUUGAUAUC
rnacentral:pre_miRNA from 1 species